GUGGGAAGGGAGUAGCAUUAAAACACGUUUUAUUCAAACAAUUUUACAGAAGAGGACUGGUUAAUUAAUCGAUUUUAAUUUAAAGUAAAAUUUGAAACUAAAAAAUAAUUUUAUUUCUUAUGCAUUUUGAGGCCCCCAGAAUUUCGUGAAUAUAGGCCAAGAGACUUUAUAUCGUUUUCUUAUGUAAUUGUUUCCCGUACUUUCGCGCACACUAUUGUUAAUGUAAUGUAACGUUAUUGUUACGUAUCUUAUCUUACGAUCAUAAAGCAUCUCAACUAGCAAGACGUUAUUUUCUUCCACAACAAAGGUG
rnacentral:lncRNA from 1 species